UACGUAGGGGGCUAGCGUUGUCCGGAUUUAUUGGGCGUAAAGAGCGUGUAGGCGGCCAGGUAGGUCUGCUGUGAAAACUCGAGGCUCAACCUCGAGACGUCGGCGGAAACCAUCUGGCUAGAGUCCGGAAGAGGAGAGUGGAAUUCCUGGUGUAGCGGUGAAAUGCGCAGAUAUCAGGAAGAACACCCGUGGCGAAGGCGGGUUGCUGGGCCGACACUGACGCUGAUGCGCGAAAGCCAGGGAGCGAACGGG
rnacentral:rRNA from 1 species